GAACUGCGAUAAGUAAUGUGAAUUGCAGAAUUCAGUGAAUCAUCGAGUCUUUGAACGCACAUUGCGCCCCCUGGCAUUCCGGGGGGCAUGCCUGUCCGAGCGUCAUUGCUGCCCUUCAAGCCCGGCUUGUGUGUUGGGUCGUCGUCCCCUCCGGGGGACGGGCCCGAAAGGCAGCGGCGGCACCGCGUCCGGUCCUCGAGCGUAUGGGGCUUUGUCACCCGCUCGAUAAGGACCGGCCGGGAGCCAGCCGGCGUCUCCAACCUUUUUUUCUCAGGUUGACCUCGGAUCAGGUAGGGAUACCCGCUGAACUUAAGC
rnacentral:misc_RNA from 1 species